UACGGAGGGAGCUAGCGUUAUUCGGAAUUACUGGGCGUAAAGCGCACGUAGGCGGCUUUGUAAGUAAGAGGUGAAAAGCCCAGAGCUCAACUCUGGAAUUGCCUUUUAGACUGCAUCGCUUGAAUCAUGGGAGAGGUCAGUGGAAUUCCGAGUGUAGAGGUGAAAUUCGUAGAUAUUCGGAAGAACACCAGUGGCGAAGGCGGCUGACUGGACAUGUAUUGACGCUGAGGUGCGAAAAGCGUGGGGAGCAAACGG
rnacentral:rRNA from 1 species